CCUACGGGAGGCAGCAGUGAGGAAUAUUGGUCAAUGGGCGAGAGCCUGAACCAGCCAAGUCGCGUGAAGGAUGACGGCCCUACGGGUUGUAAACUUCUUUUAUCAGGGAGCAAUUGAGUCCACGUGUGGGCUUAGCGAUGGUACCUGAAGAAAAAGCAUCGGCUAACUCGGUUCCAGCAGCCGCGGUAAUACGUAGGAUGCGACGGUUACCCGGAUUUAUUGGGUUUAAAGGGUGCAUAGGAGUAAUAUUAAUUCAGGGUGAAAAAUUCGGGGCUAAACCUCGUCGUGCCGUUGAAACUGGUGUUCUUGAGUGUGAGUGAAGUAUGCGGAAUGCGUGGUGUAGCGGUGAAAUGCUUAGAUAUCAUGAAGAACUCCGAUCGCGAAGGCAAGUGUCUGGGGUGCAACUGACGCUGAGGCUCGAAAGUGUGGGGAUCAAACAGGAUUAGAUACCCCUGUAGUC
rnacentral:rRNA from 1 species